AUUGAACGCUGGCGGAAUGCUUUACACAUGCAAGUCGAACGGCAGCACGGACUUCGGUCUGGUGGCGAGUGGCGAACGGGUGAGUAAUGUAUCGGAACGUGCCCAGUCGUGGGGGAUAACGUAUUGAAAAUUACGCUAAUACCACAUACGAUCUAUGGAUGAAAGCGGGGGAUCGCAAGACCUCGCGCGAUUGGAGCGGCCGAUAUCAGAUUAGGUAGUUGGUGGGGUAAAGGCCCACCAAGCCAACGAUCUGUAGCUGGUCUGAGAGGACGACCAGCCACACUGGAACUGAGACACGGUCCAGACUCCUACGGGAGGCAGCAGUGGGGAAUUUUGGACAAUGGGCGAAAGCCUGAUCCAGCCAUUCCGCGUGCAGGAUGAAGGCCCUCGGGUUGUAAACUGCUUUUGUACAGAACGAAAAGGUUUCUACUAAUACUAGGAGCUCAUGACGGUACUGUAAGAAUAAGCACCGGCUAACUGCGUGCCAGCCGCCGCGGUAA
rnacentral:rRNA from 1 species